rnacentral:rRNA from 1 species
AUGAACGCUGGCGGCGUGCUUAACACAUGCAAGUCGCACGAAGCAUUUAAGACAGAUUACUUCGGUUUGAAGUCUUUUAUGACUGAGUGGCGGACGGGUGAGUAACGCGUGGGUAACCUGCCUCAUACAGGGGGAUAGCAGCUGGAAACGGCUGUUAAUACCGCAUAAGCGCACAGUACCACAUGGUACAGUGUGAAAAACUCCGGUGGUAUGAGAUGGACCCGCGUCUGAUUAGCUUGUUGGCGGGGUAACGGCCCACCAAGGCGACGAUCAGUAGCCGACCUGAGAGGGUGACCGGCCACAUUGGGACUGAGACACGGCCCAGACUCCUACGGGAGGCAGCAGUGGGGAAUAUUGCACAAUGGAGGAAACUCUGAUGCAGCGACGCCGCGUGAGUGAAGAAGUAGUUCGCUAUGUAAAGCUCUAUCAGCAGGGAAGAUAGUGACGGUACCUGACUAAGAAGCUCCGGCUAAAUACGUG